GGAGACGCCAUUUUCGGCGGCGCGAGCGGCAGACCCGGAGCCGGCCGGGCGCGGAGCUGCAGCUGCGAGGAGCAGCCGCGGGAGACAGCGCGCGGGGGCGGCUGAGGAUGCUGCGGGGCGGCCGCGCCAGCGCCCCUCGCUCGUGACCGCGGCGCCGCGCCUGAGGCGGCUGAGGCGGCGGCCCCCGGCGGCCCCGGCUCCGCGCACGCGCCCGCGCCCUCCCGGUGCUGACAGCGCGAGCGCGCGGCCCCGUGGGAGCAGCACGCAUGUAUGACAACAUGUCCACAAUGGUGUACAUGAAGGAAGACAAGUUGGAGAAGCUCACGCAGGAUGAAAUUAUUUCCAAGACAAAGCAAGUAAUCCAGGGGCUGGAAGCUCUGAAGAAUGAGCAUAAUUCCAUUUUGCAGAGUUUACUGGAGACACUAAAGUGUUUGAAGAAAGAUGACGAAAGUAAUCUGGUGGAGGAGAAAUCAAACAUGAUCCGAAAGUCACUGGAGAUGUUGGAGCUUGGCCUGAGUGAGGCCCAGGUCAUGAUGGCGCUGUCAAACCACCUGAACGCCGUGGAGUCGGAGAAGCAGAAGCUGCGUGCACAGGUGCGGCGUCUGUGCCAGGAGAACCAGUGGCUGCGGGAUGAGCUGGCCAACACUCAGCAGAAGCUGCAGAAGAGCGAGCAGUCUGUGGCUCAGCUGGAGGAAGAGAAGAAGCAUCUGGAAUUCAUGAAUCAGCUGAAGAAGUACGACGACGACAUCUCUCCUUCGGAGGACAAAGAUGCUGAUUCCACCAAGGAACCUUUGGAUGACCUCUUCCCAAAUGAUGACGACGACCCUGGUCAAGGAAUUCAGCAGCAGCACAGCAGCGCAGCGGCGGCCGCACAGCAGGGCGGCUACGAGAUCCCCGCGCGCCUGCGCACCCUGCACAACCUGGUGAUCCAGUACGCCUCGCAGGGGCGCUACGAGGUGGCUGUGCCCCUCUGCAAGCAGGCCCUGGAGGACCUGGAGAAGACCUCGGGCCACGACCACCCCGAUGUGGCCACCAUGCUCAACAUCCUGGCCCUGGUGUACAGAGACCAAAAUAAAUAUAAAGAUGCAGCUAGCCUGCUGAACGACGCCCUGGCCAUUCGUGAGAAGACCCUGGGCAGAGACCACCCUGCGGUGGCAGCAACUCUGAACAACCUCGCAGUGCUUUACGGCAAAAGAGGGAAGUACAAAGAAGCCGAGCCGCUGUGUAAGAGAGCUCUGGAGAUCAGAGAGAAGGUUUUGGGAAAAGAUCACCCAGAUGUUGCCAAGCAGUUAAAUAACUUGGCCUUACUGUGCCAGAACCAGGGCAAGUACGAAGAAGUGGAAUAUUAUUAUCAGAGAGCCCUCGAGAUCUACCAGACAAAACUGGGGCCUGAUGACCCCAAUGUGGCCAAAACAAAAAAUAACCUGGCUUCCUGCUACCUGAAGCAAGGGAAAUUCAAGCAAGCAGAGACCCUAUACAAAGAGAUCCUUACUCGCGCACACGAAAGGGAGUUUGGCUCAGUGGACGAUGAAAAUAAGCCCAUUUGGAUGCAUGCUGAGGAGAGAGAAGAAUGCAAAGGAAAGCAGAAGGAUGGGACGUCUUUUGGAGAGUAUGGUGGCUGGUACAAGGCCUGCAAAGUUGACAGUCCAACUGUCACAACUACUUUGAAAAACCUCGGGGCGCUUUACAGACGUCAAGGCAAAUUUGAAGCGGCAGAAACGCUGGAGGAAGCAGCCAUGAGGUCGCGCAAACAGGGUCUUGACAAUGUUCAUAAACAGAGAGUGGCCGAAGUGCUGAACGACCCUGAGAACACGGAGAAGCGGCGGAGCCGGGAGAGCCUGAGCGCGGACGUGGUCAAGUACGAGAGCGGCCCUGACGGAGGGGAGGAAGUGAGUAUGAGCGUAGAGUGGAACGGGAUGAGAAAGAUGAAGCUCGGGCUGGUUAAAUGACUUGCUCAGCAUCGCAUGGCCUAGCCGCCCUGCGCGACACCCGCUGUCUCCUGCAUGACGGGCUCCUCCUCUCUCUCCAGUGCUGACCGCUGUCUAGCAUCCCUAGGAUUCUCUCUCUGACUGGCCACUCCUUCCGGUGCUGCUGUCCUGUCGGGGGCUCCUUAUCUCUGUAUACAUGUAGCUUUGCCAGAUAUGUACUCAGUAAUACAGACUGUGUUAAUACACCACCUACUGUGUGACACACGAGUUAGACGACGAAGCGCGGCUCGCCGCCCCCUUUGUGAGAGGUAGUUGGUAGUCCCCCGUGUCCCUGCCAUGGCAUGAGGUGCCCGUGACCCUCCUAGGCUGUCAGAGUAGGGCAUGUGCUCUCCCGGGCGCUCCCCUUUGGAUCGUGCUCAAGUAGAAUCUGCUGUGUAGUCUCCAUGUGGAAUUUUGGCAAUUCUGCUUUUCUCUACUAAUCUUUAAGUGUUCAGUGAUUUGUGUAUUUGUGUCUUUCUAACUUCUAAUAAACUCACUCCAACUGACCUGUGUCUUGGUGUCUGUCUGCCUUAUAGAACUUCUCACGCUUUCCAUGGAAUGCGGCCUUGCCGGAGCUUCUAGAGGGGGGAGGGAUGGGGCUCCUGUACAUCUAACCAGGUGGCUCCUUCUGAGAAUAAAAGUUGCUGUACACAUUUUCACUCUUGAGUGUUUGAUUUUCAUGUCCAGAUACUGCCACGUGUUUCGGUUAUUACCGUCUGAAUCGAGUGGGAACGCUGGGUGCACGUGCACUUGCUUCCUGCACAGGCCCACGGGCUUUUAGUCGAGUGUGUAGGAUGAAUGUUUUGUUUCCUUGUCCCACUGCUUUCUAAUCGCAGGUAAUAGAGCAGUCCUUUAAGCUGAGUGAAGGGGCAGUGUGUCUGCCGCACGCAGGAGGCGCUGUUGGAGGCACUGCCCGUGUCGGGUCCAAGUGCUUUGGGCCCUGCUCCGUUCUGUGGACCCUGUGCCUCCGUAUUUAUUACACAUGGAGUUUGAUUUUGGUGAUAUUUCUAGAAGCUGCCUUAAUUUCCUUGAGACUUUCUGUGUAUCUUUUGUUUUAAAACAGUAAUGAAAUGAAUUUUCUUUGGGGGAUGUUGUUAUUUUUGUUUGAAUAAGCUUUUUCAUGUUCAAAGGCUUUCAUAUUCUUUGGGUUAUCUCUAAUGAAAUUUACAAUGGGAAGACUUUGAAGCGUAUUUGCAUACCUGGUAAAUUGGUAAUUUCUGUAGGGGUCAUAACCAGCAGGUCACAGACCGGCAGGUCGACCGUGAUGUGGAUUCUUGGAAGGAGAACCCCCUGCAGCUUCACGUUUGUUCACGUUUCUUUCAGGACGGCACCGGGUCUUUAAGACGCAGUGGUUCCUUUAGCAAACUCCGGGCUUCAAUUAGACGCAGCAGCGAGAAGCUGGUUAGGAAGCUGAAGGGAGGAAGUUCACGAGACAGUGAACCAAAGAACCCCGGGGCGCCGCCAGCAGAGCCCCUCUCUGUGGACAACGACAGCAGCAGCAGUGGCCUGGAAGACGCCAGCCUGAGCUGAGGCGGCCAUGGAGGAGUCCAGCCUGAGCUGCUGUGUGCACCCCGAGGGCCCGGUGACACCGUGAAGGUCACGAGGCUGGAGGGCCUGGGGCAGUGCCUGCAGCGCUGACCGACACCCCAUCCCAGCGCCCUGCCCCUGCUACGCCUCACACUGCGGGGCCCAGGACAGCCUGCAUGCCCGCGACCUGCCCGGCCUGGGCCGCUGCUCUGCCCCUGCCCCGGGCUAUGUGUGAUCAUGGACUUUACUGUAAAUUUCUAAAAAUUAAACUUUAUACAUCUUA